UACGUAGGGGGCAAGCGUUGUCCGGAUUCAUUGGGCGUAAAGAGCUCGUAGGCGGCUUGGCAAGUCGGGUGUGAAACCUCCAGGCUCAACCUGGAGACGCCACCCGAUACUGCCAUGGCUAGAGUCCGGUAGGGGACCACGGAAUUCCUGGUGUAGCGGUGAAAUGCGCAGAUAUCAGGAGGAACACCGGUGGCGAAGGCGGUGGUCUGGGCCGGCACUGACGCUGAGGAGCGAAAGCGUGGGGAGCGAACGGG
rnacentral:rRNA from 1 species